CGUACCUGGACGCGCAGACCUACGAACAGGUCAAACCGUACCCGGCGCUCGGCGAGAAAUUGGGCCGGCUGCUGGCGCAACUCGCCCCGCCGCAAGUGGACCGCUUGCACAUUACUUACGGUGGCAAGGCCCAGGAGUUGCCGAACAUUGAUCCGGUCACGCGCGCCGUGCUUCAGGGUUUCUUGUCGCGCGCGGCCGUGAAGGACCUGAACAACAUCAACGUCCGCAGCAUCGCCUCAACCCUGGGGUUGACGGUCGAGGAAAAACGCUCGAACGAACCCGUCACGUUCAACGAGUGGCUGCACGUGCAGGUCUUCAACGGCGAGGCCAAGGUCAUUUCGGCGGGCGGAACUUUUUUUGGUUCGCCCAACAAUCCCCGCAUCGUCCGGCUUUACAGCACGCCGGUGGAAAUCCCCAUCAGCGGUACGUUUUUGCUGCUCACCAACAAAGACCGCCCCGGCAUCGUCGGUCAUCUCGGCACCGUGCUGGCCCGCCACAAAGUCAAUAUUGCCAGCAUGAGUCUGAGCCGCGACACCUGCGGCGGACACGCUUUUACCGUACUCAACCUCGACAGCGAACCGCCGGCGUCCGUGCUGGCGGAAUUGGAAAAAGAUCCCGACAUCCAAAACGUGAAGGUCGUCAACCUUUGAACCGACAAAACCAAAAAAUAAUGAACCGCCGAAUCCUCACCACCCGUCACGCCGGCCUGCUCUUCGCGCUAUUCGCCGCCGCCGCCGGGGCCGCGGAAGCCACCGCCCCCGGCAGCAAACCGUCCGAUAAGCUUUCCGAACUUUUUGGCGACCCCGUUGUCGCCAAGGGCACGGGUGUCCAAAUCAAACGCAGCGACCUGGACGCCGCCGCCAUGGGCCUCAAAGCCAGCGCCACCGCCCGCGGCG
rnacentral:misc_RNA from 1 species